rnacentral:lncRNA from 1 species
CAAGCAGGUGGACUCUCAGUGUCUUGCAAGUGACAGCUAGCAGCAGCAGGUCCAGCCAGGAGGCACAGCACCCUGCAACCUCCAGGGGCCUUUGUGCAACAGCAGAUGUUGAUGCCCUAGAAGCACGGUGCGGAGCACAUCCUGGGAUCAAGGUGCCACGGACUGGAAAAUGCUGCUGUGGCGGAGUUCCUGUGUGAAGACAAAACUCCCAGUCCCCCAGAAAAGUGGAGGCAGAAGAGCAGUGACAAGGCAUUGUGUUUAACUUAAAAAACUUAAAAAAUGAACGGACGAAGAAUAGCUUUGUUUGCAUUCUGGUGACUGCUGAGGCUUUGGCUGACGACAGCUUUCAGCUGCACCUGAACUAGGCUG